AGUGAACGCUGGCGGUAGGCCUAACACAUGCAAGUCGGACGGCAGCACAGUAAGAGCUUGCUCUUACGGGUGGCGAGUGGCGGACGGGUGAGGAAUACAUCGGAAUCUACUUUUUCGUGGGGGAUAACGUAGGGAAACUUACGCUAAUACCGCAUACGACCUACGGGUGAAAGCAGGGGAUCUUCGGACCUUGCGCGAUUGAAUGAGCCGAUGUCGGAUUAGCUAGUUGGCGGGGUAAAGGCCCACCAAGGCGAUGAUCCGUAGCUGGUCUGAGAGGAUGAUCAGCCACACUGGAACUGAGACACGGUCCAGACUCCUACGGGAGGCAGCAGUGGGGAAUAUUGGACAAUGGGCGCAAGCCUGAUCCAGCCAUACCGCGUGGGUGAAGAAGGCCUUCGGGUUGUAAAGCCCUUUUGUUGGGAAAGAAAAGCAGCAGGUUAAUACCCCGCUGUUCUGACGGUACCCAAAGAAUAAGCACCGGCUAACUUCGUG
rnacentral:rRNA from 1 species